rnacentral:rRNA from 1 species
GACGAACGCUGGCGGCGUGCUUAACACAUGCAAGUCGAACGGGUCUGCCCUGUUUUUUGCGGGGUGGGUCCGUGGCGAACGGGUGAGUAACACGUGAGUAACCUGCCCCUCACUUCUGGAUAACCGCUUGAAAGGGUGGCUAAUACGGGGUGUUCUGGCUGUGCCGCAUGGUGUGGCUGGGAAAGAUUCACUUUUGUGGUGUUUUGGUGGGGGAUGGGCUCGCGGCCUAUCAGCUUGUUGGUGGGGUGAUGGCCUGCCAAGGCUUUGACGGGUAGCCGGCCUGAGAGGGUGGGCGGUCACACUGGGACUGAGAUACGGCCCAGACUCCUGCGGGAGGCAGCAGUGGGGGGUAUUGCACAAUGGGCGGAAGCCUGAUGCAGCGACGUCGCGUGAGGGAUGGAGGCCUUCGGGUUGUGAACCUCUUUCGCCGGUGAAGAAGGUCCUGCUCUUUGUGGUGGGGUUGACGGUAGCCGGGUUAUGAAGCGCCGGCUAACUACGUG